UUCUCUCACAAUAGGGAUUACAAUUCAACAUGAGAUUUGGGUGGGGACACAAAUCCAAACCAUAUCACCCGCUAUGAUUGUGGGAGGAUCAAUCAAAUCAGCCAGCAGGUGGGAAGCACUUAGCACAGUGUUAUGUGGCAGGCACUUAAUAAAUGCUUGCUGGAACUAAGGCAAGAAUUAGGUACAGGAAGUGAGACAUCAAGGCCAGACAACAAACCUGUUUUGCUGAGCAUUUUGUCCAAGUGCUCUUAAAAUACUUUUGUCUGGGAUUGGUUUCUUUGUGCAGGACUGGGAUUAGAACUAAGAGGCCCCUCCAUGGGGAACUGCAGGCUCCAGGAGCCAGGCUGCCAUCUCAGAAACCACCGGGUCUUUUGACUCUCCCAAAGCUAUCUAUAGCCCACAAUGACACACAGUAGGUGCUCACUAAGUAUCUGUUGAAGCAUCAAUGCACUUAACAGAGGGAUGUGAACAACCUGACUCCCAGGAGCUACUGAACAGUAAAACACUGAGGUUUGCUUUAGUCAGACAAGCUUUGUCUUCUCGGAACAAACAAAAAAACAAUAAAAAUAAAUCAGACAAGGCUUUGUUUCUGAAAGACACUGAACAAAUACACUUGAGGUAUUAUCUCAAGAAAAAUCAAUGUCUUUCCCAUCCACCGGUGUACGUGCCUUUGGCAUUGACUUGGAAACACUGAAACCCUCCUGGCCCAGUGCUCUCUUGAGUCCACAGGCUGAGAAUACCAGUUCCAGCAUUCCCAGCUGGCCAAGCCGAUGAGAACUCAUUUCCUUCUUGGAGUGCAGAGCCAUCACUGCAGGAAGAAAAAGUGGAUGAGGAAGACCCUUUGGACAUCGUCAAAAGAGGCAUUGUUAGCAAAUGACGGGGGGCCAGUCCUGAAAGCCUGUGAGGCUGUGAGCAACUCUCCCACCUGCUCUUCUCUGUCUGUCCUACUCCUCAUGACAAUGACUCUUAUCCUGGAGGGCCUGCAGUAGCGUUUGACACACGUACCUCAUUUAAUUCUCACAAGAGUUCUAUGAAACAGGCUAGGAUUUGGCAAACCAUUGUCAGCUACCUGUUUUUGUAAAUAUAGUUUUAUUGGAACAUAACCACCACAAUUUAUUUACAUAUUGUCUAUAGCUGCUUUUACUCUACAAUGGCAGAGUUGAGUAGUUGUGACAAAAGCUCUAGGCCCUGAAAAGUGCAAAAUAUUUAUUUUACUAUGUGGCCCUUUACAGCAAAGGUGUGUUGACCCCUCAGAUAAAUGGGACAUUGCUCCCACUUUACAUAUGAGGCACAGAAAAGCUAAGCGCAUUGACUGAGAUCAUUUGGGUUAUAAAUUAUAGUGUCAGAGAUGUCUCGGACCCAGAGACAACUGUUCCCUAUGCUUUUCUCCUCCCUACCUUAUAGCAUCUCCUACUCUUUCACAUUCAUUUGUUCCUACUAAAUGUGUCAGCCAAAAAGAACACAUUCAUUUGCACUGAACAAGACGUCUCAGGUUGACCAUCACACAGAAGUCAACAGGAGGUUCUGGAGACUUGCAGAAAGUGAUCAUCCAGCAUAUCCUCUCCUCUCCUCUCCUAGCCCCUAAGGACUGAUUCGUAGUCUGCCCAGAGUUUAUAAGAGAGACAGUCAUCCAACAUGAAUAGAGAUGGCCUGAGCAGGCAUGGGCUCUUUGAAAUUCGGAGAGAUCAGCUCAAAGAUACACUGGGAAGAACCAGGUUGCCCCAAGCAAAAGGCAACAACUGCCCUUGGUUGAGCAAGAUUCCUUGGGAAGCUUAUUGGAGGCCCCACCUCUAAGGACAGGCCCACAUUUGCCUUGUCUGCCAUUCUUCCCUUACUGAUGUAUUCUGACCCUGUCUUGGCUUGAUUUAUCUUUGAUGUCUUUGAUGUUGCUCAUGACCAUGCUGCCUUCUUCCUGGGAGUUCCCAUCUGGUCCUGGUUUCUGCUUCUCUUGCCUUAGCUCAUACUCAAACCCUGUGGGUAACAGCCCACGUGCAACAGUGGUCUGCAGCUCCUGAGGGCUGUUGAAAAGAUUGCUUCAUUCAAUGCCAUAAAAAUAUCCAAGAAUACAGCAAUUGUUAUAGAAAUUAUGGUAAAUCUGCACAAUGAAAUAUUAUGCAGCCACUAAAACGGACAUCAAUUCAGAUUUCUAAAUGACACAAUGUAGCAGAGACAGGGCCAGGUUCAUGGGUGUGGGUCCUACACAGUCAUACAGGGCUCCACACUUACAAGGGCCCUACACUUGGUUUAAUGCUCCAUGGCUGCCACCUUGAAAUUCUGAAUAGUUUUAUAACAAGAGUCCUCCACAUUUACAUUUCACAUUGAGCCUAUAAAUUGUUAGCUAGUCCUGAGCAGAGAUGACUCUGAGUGCCCAUUUUCUCCUGUCUUUUAGUAAUAGAACCUCCUCCCUUUGCUUCAUACAUACACCCUGACUAGUGUUUCCACGCUGGAAUUCCUUCCCAGUAUUUCUUGAGAAUUUUUUAUGUUUCUCCAAAUCUCGAAAGAAAAAUCAGUCAAGAAAUUGGGAAAAAGUAUUGUAAUUAUCCUGCAGGAAUCAAGGCUUAAUGAUCAACAUAAAGACAUCACUGGUUUGAAUCCAUCAAUGUCAAAUGAAAAGCAAGAGCAGGAAAGGCUGGCAGGUGGAAGAGCAUAUAGCACAUAGGAGAGCACAUAGGUCAAGAGCUGAUCAGUCAAUCUUGCUUGUAGCCAUUGUCCUGUUCUAAGUGUGUGUUCUUGGCCCUGACUGAUGCUAAUGGCAAGUCAUUCUUGGAAAUAAAAUAAGCAGUAUUAGGUUUAUAUGUAUGUAUACUUUAUUCAAAUCCUGCUAGUGAUGUUCUAGGAAAUAACAAAUUUGGGAAGCAAAAUACGCCCUUAAUUGGCAAUUUCAAUGUGUGAUUCUGUGUAGUGCUUUAACCUUGCUAGGAGAUCUGAAUGUCACAUUCUUUGAAUAUUACCCAAAAAUGUUCACUGGUAUUUUCUAAUGUUUGAUUUUUUUUUUAUCUCAGGCUAUAGUUGUUUAUAAAUUUGCUAAAUGUAAUAUUUCUUAUUUAUUAAACCAAUUUCUUUUAGAUAUCCACAGUAAUGACUAAAGAGUAUAAAAAUUGCUGGAAGUCUUUUAUUUUCUUCUUGUUACUUAGUUUUCAUUUUGUAAUUAUAAACUUAACUCUGCGAUCCAGCUAGACAUGGAAGAGGAUAAGGAAAAUAUGGAACCCAAAGGACUGUGCAAAGAUUAUAGGAUGCUGUGAGCAAAUGGGGUGGAAGCAUGCUUUCCUGAGCUAUAGAAGGAACGAUCUGGUGGUUCAGAUAAAACAAUCAAAUUUAUUAGAGUUGUCCACAGUCAGCAGCUGUGAUCUUCUUGCUGGUCUUACCAUUCCUGGACCCAGAGCGUUCCAGGGCUUCCACAAUACUCAUGCCAUCUUUCACCUUGCCAAAGACCACAUGCUGUCAUCCAUCCUCUGUCUUGGCAGUACAGAAGAAAAACUGGGAACCAUUUGUGGUGGGUCCAGCAUUUGCCGUGGACAAGACGCCAGGAGCUGUAUGCUUAGGAUGAAGUUCUCAUCAUCAAAUUCCUUGCUGUAGAGGGACUUGCCACCAGUGCCAUUAUGGUGUGUGAAGUCACCACCCUGACACACACCCCGGAAUAAUUCUGUAAAAGCAGGGACAUUUAUCACCAAAUACUUUCUCUCCAGUGUUCAGAGCACAAAAAUUUUCUUCCAUCUUUAGAACUUUGUCUGCAAAUAGCUUGAAGGAGAUGCAGCCCAAGGACUCACUAUCAAUUGCAAUGUUGAAGAACACAGUGGGGUUGGCCAUGGCUGGUGGCAGGGAGUUCUGGGCAGCAGCGAUGUCUGCAAAUGGAAGUCUUUUCAGAAUAACACGAGUUUAUCUUUAUAACAAACCUAUACAUGUAUCCCUGAACCUAAAAUAAAAGUUUUUUUUUUAAAA